rnacentral:misc_RNA from 1 species
UGCAUAGGCUUCCUGCGGUGAAACGG